UACGAAGGGGGCUAGCGUUGUUCGGAAUCACUGGGCGUAAAGCGCGUGUAGGCGGUUAUCCAAGUCGGGUGUGAAAGCCUUGAGCUCAACUCAAGAAAUGCACUCGGUACUGGGUGACUAGAGGACCGGAGAGGAUAGUGGAAUUCCCAGUGUAGUGGUGAAAUACGUAGAGAUUGGGAAGAACACCAGUGGCGAAGGCGGCUAUCUGGACGGUUUCUGACGCUAAGACGCGAAAGCGUGGGGAGCAAACAGG
rnacentral:rRNA from 1 species